UGAUCCCGAACACGGCAGUUAAGCCUCUCAGCGCCGAUGGUACUUGGCGGGGGACCGCCUGGGAGAGUAGGUCGUUGCCG
rnacentral:rRNA from 1 species